CCCUUAACUAUUAAAAGUUUCGUUUUGGUCCAUUAACUUAUUUUUUGGUUUCAUUUUGGUCCCUUAACUCUUCCUCCGUCAACCACUUUGGUCUUUUAUGUUAGGAUGAAUGUAUUAGAGUUAAGGACCAAAACGAAAUCAAAAAAUAAGUUAAGGGACCAAAAUGAAACCAAAAAAUAAGUUAAGGGACCAAAACGAAACUUUUAAUAGUUAAGGGACCAAAACGAAACCAAAAAUAAGUUAAGGGACCAAAACGAAACUUUUAAUAGUUAAGGGA
rnacentral:pre_miRNA from 1 species